GUAGGUGGCGAGCGUUGUCCGGAUUUACUGGGUGUAAAGGGCGUGUAGGCGGGAAGGUAAGUCAGAUGUGAAAUUCCGAAGCUCAACUUCGGCGCUGCAUCUGAAACUGCUUUUCUUGAGUGCUGGAGAGGAUAGUGGAAUUCCUAGUGUAGCGGUGAAAUGCGUAGAUAUUAGGAGGAACACCAGUGGCGAAGGCGGCUAUCUGGACAGUAACUGACGCUGAGGCGCGAAAGCGUGGGGAGCAAAC
rnacentral:rRNA from 1 species